AUUGAACGCUGGCGGCAUGCUUUACACAUGCAAGUCGAACGGUAACAGGUCUUUCGGGAUGCUGACGAGUGGCGAACGGGUGAGUAAUGUAUCGGAACGUGCCCAGUAGUGGGGGAUAACUACUCGAAAGAGUGGCUAAUACCGCAUGAGAUCUCUGGAUGAAAGCGGGGGACCGUAAGGCCUCGCGCUACUGGAGCGGCCGAUAUCAGAUUAGGUAGUUGGUAGGGUAAGAGCCUACCAAGCCAACGAUCUGUAGCUGGUCUGAGAGGACGACCAGCCACACUGGGACUGAGACACGGCCCAGACUCCUACGGGAGGCAGCAGUGGGGAAUUUGGACAAUGGGCGCAAGCCUGAUCCAGCAAUGCCGCGUGCAGGACGAAGGCCUUCGGGUUGUAAACUGCUUUGUACGGAACGAAAAGACCUCUGGUUAAUACCUAGGGGUCAUGACGGUACCGUAAGAAUAAGCACCGGCUAACUACGUGCCAGCAGCCGCGGU
rnacentral:rRNA from 1 species